rnacentral:lncRNA from 1 species
UUGUAAGGUCUAAUGAGGAUAAAACAAAUGCAAUUAAUACCAUAUUUUUAACCUAAUGAUAAAGUUUUAGCUAAUUAUAUUUACUCUUCUGCAUUUGAGGUCUUGACUAACUGUCGCACUGUUUGGAUCGAGAUUAAUUUUUAGCUAGCAAAACUUUAGUCCUAGGUGAUCCAAAUAAGUAGAUCAAAAAUAAGUCACACCCUAACUAAAGUGUAGUCCAUCAAUCCUCCAAAUCCAUAUAAUUCGGAGUAAAAGGAGGCGAAACAUGAGAAAAAGACUAAAAUACCCCCCACCUACAAAC